CUUUGGGUGUGACUGCGUACCUUUUGUAUAAUGGGUCAGCGACUUAUAUUCUGUAGCAAGGUUAACCGAAUAGGGGAGCCGGAGGGAAACCGAGUCUUAACCGGGCGUUAAGUUGCAGGGUAUAGACCCGAAACCCGGUGAUCUAGCCAUGGGCAGGUUGAAGGUUGGGUAACACUAACUGGAGGACCGAACCGACUAAUGUUGAAAAAUUAGCGGAUGACCUGUGGCUGGGGGUGAAAGGCCAAUCAAACCGGGAGAUAGCUGGUUCUCCCCGAAAGCUAUUUAGGUAGCGCCUCGUGAAUUCAUCUCCGGGGGUAGAGCACUGUUUCGGCUAGGGGGCCAUCCCGGCUUACCAACCCGAUGCAAACUGCGAAUACCGGAGAAUGUUAUCACGGGAGACACACGGCGGGUGCUAACGUCCGUCGUGAAGAGGGAAACAACCCAGACCGCCAGCUAAGGUCCCAAAGUCAUGGUUAAGUGGGAAACGAUGUGGGAAGGCCCAGACAGCCAGGAUGUUGGCUUAGAAGCAGCCAUCAUUUAAAGAAAGCGUAAUAGCUCACUGGUCGAGUCGGCCUGCGCGGAAGAUGUAACGGGGCUAAACCAUGCACCGAAGCUGCGGCAGCGACACUGUGUGUUGUUGGGUAGGGGAGCGUUCUGUAAGCCUGUGAAGGUGUGUCGUGAGGCAUGCUGGAGGUAUCAGAAGUGCGAAU
rnacentral:rRNA from 1 species